rnacentral:rRNA from 1 species
ACCUACGGGGGGCAGCAGUAGGGAAUCUUCCACAAUGGACGAAAGUCUGAUGGAGCAACGCCGCGUGAGUGAAGAAGGGUUUCGGCUCGUAAAGCUCUGUUGGUAGUGGAGAAAGAUAGAGGUAGUAACUGGCCUUUAUUUGACGGUAAUUACUUAGAAAGUCACGGCUAACUACGUGCCAGCAGCCGCGGUAAUACGUAGGGGGCAAGCGUUGUCCGGAUUUAUUGGGCGUAAAGCGAGUGCAGGCGGUUCACUAAGUCUUAUGUUAAAGCC